GACGAGCGCUGGCGGCGUGCUUAACACAUGCCAGUCGAACGGAAAGGCCCUGCUUGCAGGGUACUCGAGUGGCGAACGGGUGAGUAACACGUGGGUGAUCUGCCCUGCACUUCGGGAUAAGCCUGGGAAACUGGGUCUAAUACCGGAUAGGAGCCAUUUUUAGUGUGAUGGUUGGAAAGUUUUUUCGGUGUAGGAUGAGCUCGCGGCCUAUCAGCUUGUUGGUGGGGUAAUGGCCUACCAAGGCGGCGACGGGUAGCCGGCCGGAGAGGGUGGACGGCCACAUUGGGACUGAGAUACGGCCCAGACUCCUACGGGAGGCAGCAGUGGGGAAUAUUGCACAAUGGGCGCAAGCCUGAUGCAGCGACGCCGCGUGGGGGAUGACGGCCUUCGGGUUGUAAACUCCUUUCGCUAGGGACGAAGCUUUUUGUGACGGUACCUAGAUAAGAAGCACCGGCUAACUACGUG
rnacentral:rRNA from 1 species